rnacentral:misc_RNA from 1 species
AAGUCGUAACAAGGUUUCCGUAGGUGAACCUGCGGAAGGAUCAUUAACAAAUUUAAUGUCUUGGUGCUUGGCAAUGCUGAUUUGCUCAUGUGCUGUGUUCGGCGCUUGGCGCAAUGAUGCUAACUGAGUACCACUCAUGAAGUGCUGCGUCACUAGAGCUUAAUCGCUUUAGAGACGUGUCAUAAACAAGUAACCCGGGGUACUUUAAGUUGAAGCGCUUUAUUGUGCUUUGUCUUAGAGCCCUUCUAAUAAUCCCUAUUUUACCAUUUUACCCCUUUAUAAACUAUAAGACUGAUAUGACAUGAUAAUGUCAAACUUAAAACUAUAAAACAACUCUUAACAAUGGAUAUCUAUGCUCUG